rnacentral:rRNA from 1 species
UACGGGGGGGGGCAAGCGUUGUUCGGAAUUACUGGGCGUAAAGGGUGCGUAGGCGGCGCGGUAAGUCGGAUGUGAAAUCUCGGAGCUUAACUUCGAAACUGCAUUCGAUACUGCCGUGCUUGAGGACUGGAGAGGAGACUGGAAUUUACGGUGUAGCGGUGAAAUGCGUAGAUAUCGUAAGGAAGACCAGUGGCGAAGGCGGGUCUCUGGACAGUUCCUGACGCUGAGGCACGAAGGUCAGGGGAGCAAACGGG